rfam:Halobaculum gomorrense strain DSM 9297 genome assembly, contig: Ga0131215_104
GCCAAGGUGGCAGAGUCCGGCCAUACGCAUCUCCCUGCAGAGGAGAACCACGCCGGUUCAAAUCCGGCCCUUGGCU